rnacentral:rRNA from 1 species
AAAGGUAAGCUACUAAGAGCGAAUGGUGGAUGCCUUGACUGGUAAAGGCGAUGAAGGACGUACUAGACUGCGAUAAGCUACGGGGAGCUGUCAAGAAGCUUUGAUCCGUAGAUUUCCGAAUGGGGCAACCCAAUGUAUAGAGAUAUACAUUACCUAUAUAGGAGCGAACGAGGGGAAUUGAAACAUCUUAGUACCCUCAGGAAAAGAAAUCAAUAGAGAUUGCGUCAGUAGCGGCGAGCGAAAGCGCAAGAGGGCAAACCCAGUGCUUGCACUGGGGGUUGUAGGACUGCAAUGUGCAAGAGCUGAGUUUAGCAGAACAUUCUGGAAAGUAUAGCCAUAGAGGGUGAUAGUCCCGUAUGCGAAAAACAAAGCUUAGCUAGCAGUAUCCUGAGUAGGGCGGGACACGAGGAAUCCUGUCUGAAUCCGGGUCGACCACGAUCCAACCCUAAAUACUAAUACCAGAUCGAUAGUGCACAAGUACCGUGAGGGAAAGGUGAAAAGAACUGAGGUGAU